rnacentral:lncRNA from 1 species
CAACACUGACAUGUCUGAAUUCAUUUGUACUAUUUACAAUGAUUUAAUAAAAAAAAUAUACGAGGUUCUCUUCUUGGAAUCUAUUAUGUCGGUUGAUUGAUUUUGUUUAUAGUUAAACGUCAAGUGGCAACUAUUUCAUUAAAGUGCGCAUUGAGUAUAAUUUUAGGACGUCCCAUAUAAAUAUCGGCAAUGACAAAUCUCUCGAUAAAUCUGACGAAUUUGACGAGAUUGUUGAUAGUUUUACCACACCGUAUGCUUACGGACACUGUACAAUUUCUGUUAGAAUAUUCUGCGGGAAAUAGAAUAGUAAAUCCAAUGCAAACAAGUUGAAUAUCAAUGAAAUAUCCAUGCAAGUAUAAAUUUAUGCAUAAAGUAAAAUUUAGGAAGGGACAGGUAAACAACGGGGAACG